AUACGUAGGGGGCAAGCGUUAUCCGGAUUUACUGGGUGUAAAGGGAGCGUAGACGGCGAUGCAAGUCUGGAGCGAAAGCCCGGGGCUCAACCCCGGGACUGCUUUGGAAACUGUGUUGCUAGAGUGCAGGAGAGGUAAGUGGAAUUCCUAGUGUAGCGGUGAAAUGCGUAGAUAUUAGGAGGAACACCAGUGGCGAUGGCGGCUUACUGGACUGUAACUGACGUUGAGGCUCGAAAGCGUGGGGAGCAAACAGGAUUAGAUCCCCUGGUAGUCCACGCCGUAAACGAUGAAUACUAGGUGUUGGGGAGCAAAGCUCUUCGGUGCCGCCGCUAACGCAAUAAGUAUUCCACCUGGGGAGUACGUUCGCAAGAAUGAAACUCAAAGGAAUUGACGGGG
rnacentral:rRNA from 1 species